AGCUUUUUGGAGAUUUUUUAAAAAGUAGUUUCUGCUCAGUGUUUUUAAAUAGCCGCGGUAAUUUGACCGUGCAAAGGUAGCAUAAUCAUUUGCCUUGUAAUUGAGGGCUGGUAUGAAUGGAUUUUUGAGACUGUGGCUUUAUUGAAAAGAUUUUAAAAACUUUCUUUCUUAGUGAAGAAGCUAAGAUUAGUACAGGGGACAAGAAGACCCUUUUGAGCUUUACUUCUUCUUUUGUUUGUCGAAGGUUGGGAGUUUGGUUGGGGCGACCAGAGAAGACAGAUCUUCUCUUUUUAAUAAAGAUCCUUUGGUUGUGAAAAAUAGAGUAAGUUACCAAAGGGAUAACAGCGUAAUUUUUUUUGAGAGUUCUUAUUAAAAAAGUAGAUUGCGACCUCGAUGUUGACUUAUAGCUUCCUUUUUGUGCAGCAGCAAUAAGGGUGGGUCUGUUCGACCUUUAAAGUUUU
rnacentral:rRNA from 2 species